CCUACGGGAUGCAGCAGUGAGGAAUCUUGGUCAAUGGACGAGAGUCUGAACCAGCCAAGUAGCGUGAAGGAUGACUGCCCUAUGGGUUGUAAACUUCUUUUAUAUGGGAAUAAAAUGUUCCACGUGUGUGAUUUUGUAUGUCCCAUAUGAAUAAGGCUCGGCUAACUCCGUGCCAGCAGCCGCGGUAAUCCGGAGUAUCCGAGCGUUGUCCGGAUUUCUUUGUUUUAAAGGGAGCGUAGGUGGAUUGUUAAGUCAGGUGGGAAAGUUUGCGGAUCAAACGUAAAAGUGCAGUUGAAACUGGGAGUCUGGAGUACAGUAGAGGUGGGCGGAAGUCGGGGUGUAGCGGUGAAAUGAUUAGAUAUCACGAAGAACUCCGAUUGCGAAGGCAGCUAACUGGACUGCAACUGACACUGAGGCUCGAAAGUGUGGGUAUCAAACAGGAUUAGAUACACUUGUAGUC
rnacentral:rRNA from 1 species